rnacentral:rRNA from 1 species
CCCCUAGAUGUUCUGGGCCGCACGCGCGCUACACUGAACAGUUCAACAAGUCUUAACCUUGGCCGAUAGGUCUGGGUAAUCUUUGAACGCUGUUCGUGAUUGGGAUAGACCUUUGCAAUUAUGGGUCUUCAACGAGGAAUUCCUAGUAAACGCAAGUCAUCAGCUUGCAUUGAUUACGUCCCUGCCCUUUGUACACACCGCCCGUCGCACCUACCGAUUGAAUGGUCCGGUGAAUAAUUCGGACUGCAGCUUUGAACAGUCCCUGUUCUCGGCUUGCGGAAAGUUUAGUGAACCUUAUCACUUAGAGGAAGGAGAANUCGUAACA